rnacentral:rRNA from 1 species
AGAGUUUGAUCAUGGCUCAGAGUGAACGCUGGCGGCGUGCCUAACACAUGCAAGUCGAACGAGAACGGAUAUAAGUUUACUUAUAUUGUCAGCUAAGUGGCGCACGGGUGAGUAAUAUAUAGUUAAUCUGCCCUGAAGAAGAGAAUAAUUGUUGGAAACGACUUGUAAUGCUCUAUAUGCCUUUAUCACAUAAGUGAGCAAGGGAAAUAUUUAUAGCUUCGGGAUGAGACUGUACGGUAUCAGCUAGUUGGUGAGGUAAUGGCUCACCAAGGCUAUGACAUCUAACUGGUUUGAGAGGAUGAUCAGUCACACUGGAACUGAGACACGGUCCAGACUCCUACGGGAGGCAGCAGUGGGGAACAUUGCACAAUGGAGGAAACUCUGAUGCAGCAACGCCGCGUGGAGGAUGACACAUUUCGGUGCGUAAACUCCUUUUAUUAGGGAAGAUAAUGACGGUACCUAAUGAAUAAGCACCGGCUAACUCCGUGCCAGCAGCCGCGGUAAUACGGGGGGUGCAAGCGUUACUCGGAAUCACUGGGCGUAAAGAGCAUGUAGGCUGAUUAGUAAGUUGGAAGUGAAAUCCUAUGGCUCAA